GGGCCCGCACAAGCGGUGGAGCAUGUGGUUUAAUUCGAUGCAACGCGAAGAACCUUACCAGGACUUGACAUACUACGAAUUCUUCUGAGAAGAAGAAGUGCCUUCGGGAACGUAGAUACAGGUGGUGCAUGGCUGUCGUCAGCUCGUGUCGUGAGAUGUUGGGUUAAGUCCCGCAACGAGCGCAACCCUUAUUUUUAGUUACUAACUCGUUAGGUUCUCUAGAAAGACUGCCGGUGACAAACCGGAGGAAGGUGAGGAUGACGUCAAGUCAGCAUGCCCCUUAUGUCCUGGGCUACACACGUGCUACAAUGGUUAAGACAAAGAGUCGCGAGCUCGCGAGAGUCAGCUAAUCUCAUAAACUUAGCCUAAGUUCAGAUUGUAGGCUGCAACUCGCCUGCAUGAAGUUGGAAUC
rnacentral:rRNA from 1 species